CUACGGGGGGCUGCAGGCGCGGAACCUUUACAAUGCACGAAAGUGUGAUAAGGGGAUCCCAAGUGCCUUGCUUUUAGCAAGGCUUUUGCCAUAUGUAAAAAGUAUGGCGAAUAAGUGGUGGGUAAGACUUGUGCCAGCCGCCGCGGUAACACCAGCGCCACAAGUGGCAACCGCUUUUAUUGGGCCUAAAGCGUCCGUAGCCGGUUCAGUAAAUUUUCUGUGAAAUCGUUGGGCUUAACCUAACGUCGUGCAGGAAAGACUACUGGACUAGGGACCGGGAGGCGUCAGAGGUAUUCCUGAGGGAGCGGUAAAAUGCUAUAAUCUCAGGAGGACCCCCUGUGGCGAAAGCGUCUGACGAGAACGGAUCCGACGGUCAGGGACGAAAGCUAAGGGAGCAAACCGGAUUAGAUACCCGCGUAGUC
rnacentral:rRNA from 1 species